GUCGGGGGGCCAUUUCUACGAGUCUAACAGUCUUGCUCUUAAUGCUACUUGGUUGUGGCACAUGAAGAGGGAGCUACUGGGAUUAGCUAUGCUCCCAGCCAACUCUCCUCCUGCUUUCUUGCUAGCUGCAUCCUAGGGUGACCUUACUGUUCUCUCCCAGGGUUAGUUGGAGCUAACAUUUUAAUCUUGGGUCCAUUUUUUCCCUUCAAAUCCUAUAAAAACACAAUGCAAAAGAGGAUUGUGAGCUCUUGCUGCCUUUGACCUUUGAGCAAGAAAGCCGGUGAGGCCUGGGAAAUAAGCUACCCUUGGAAACGAAGCCCAGAGGUAAACAACUGAGGAGCUCACCAACCAGUUGGAGAAGUUCCACUUCGUCUGCAGAAUAAAGAGCCUUGGGAAAUAAGACUUCAUCUGUUUUGGUGGAAGAUCAGCAGCGGUAGCUCACCUACACUUGGUGCUACGAUCCUUCCGGUAUCUGUCCUGUGUGCAGAGAAUCCCCACUUUUCCUCGGUUUCCAGUG